AGUGAACGCUGGCGGUAGGCCUAACACAUGCAAGUCGAACGGCAGCACAGUAAGAGCUUGCUCUUACGGGUGGCGAGUGGCGGACGGGUGAGGAAUACAUCGGAAUCUACUUUUUCGUGGGGGAUAACGUAAGGAAACUUACGCUAAUACCGCAUACGACCUACGGGUGAAAGCAAGGGAUCUUCGGACCUUUCGCGAUUGAAUGAGCCGAUGUCGGAUUAGCUAGUUGGCGGGGUAAAGGCCCACCAAGGCGACGAUCCGUAGCUGGUCUGAGAGGAUGAUCAGCCACACUGGAACUGAGACACGGUCCAGACUCCUACGGGAGGCAGCAGUGGGGAAUAUUGGACAAUGGGCGAAAGCCUGAUCCAGCCAUACCGCGUGGGUGAAGAAGGCCUUCGGGUUGUAAAGCCCUUUUGUUGGGAAAGAAAAGCAGCAGGUUAAUCCCCCGCUGUCCUGACGGUACCCAAAGAAUAAGCACCGGCUAACUUCGUG
rnacentral:rRNA from 1 species